AAUGCCUCUGUUCUUUUUUUUUUUUUUUUUCCUCAGGCAGAGAAGGGAAUGAGGACUCAGUGAAGUGAGCCUGGGGGAUCCAUGCUCAGGAUUCAGAGAGCCAACCGGCUGGCUUUCUAGGUGUCUUUCAAUCCAACCGAGUUGGCAGUCAAGAAGAGCCAUUACACCCCUCCUGGGAAGAUGCGGAUGGAAAGAUGGAACCGUCUACUGUCUAGUGGGCUCUAGCCACCAGCAGUCUUUGCCACUGUGGACUCUUAAGAACCUGGACCCAAGUCUCUGUCCAGGAGAACUGUUUCCAGGGGUCAGACUGCAUCUAGGACAGAGGGCGUUCUCUGGAUGCUUCUCAGAAUCGUGUCACUGACCCCCAUAUUUCUCUCUUGUCAUGGAGGUGAAUUGGUGAGGUGGGACUGGUAGAUUCCAUGAGCAGUGAAUGCACCCUAGCCCUGCACUAAUUGUGCUAGACAGAGCUGUUUAAAUACCACCAGACAGAAUAUUACUCAAAUUAAAAUGAGGCCUUAAAUGUCA